rnacentral:rRNA from 1 species
AGUCAAUAGAUACCCUGGUAGUCCACGCCGUAAACGAUGAGUACUAGGUGUAGGAGGUAUCGACUCCUUCUGUGCCGCAGUUAACACAAUAAGUACUCCGCCUGGGAAGUACGGUCGCAAGAUUAAAACUCAAAGGAAUUGACGGGGGCCCGCACAAGCAGCGGAGCAUGUGGUUUAAUUCGAAGCAACGCGAAGAACCUUACCUAGACUUGACAUCUCCUGAAUAGUGUAGAGAUACAUGAAGCCCUUCGGGGCGAGGAAGACAGGUGGUGCAUGGUUGUCGUCAGCUCGUGUCGUGAGAUGUUGGGUUAAAGUCCCGCAACGAGCGCAACCCUUAUUACUAGUUGCUACCAUUAAGUUGAGCACUCUAGUGAGACUGCCCGGGUUAACCGGGGAGGAAGGCGGGGAGUGACGUCAAAUCAUCAUGCCCUUACUGUCUAGGGCAACACACGUGCUACAAUGGUGAGUACAG